AGGCUAUGAUGUGGGCACUUCCUCAAUAGGUCUUUGAAUCUCUCCCAAGCUUUAUACAAACUCUGUUGAUCAUGGUGGGCAAAAGUCAUUAUCUCAUUGCGAAGCUU
rnacentral:snoRNA from 1 species